AUUCCCUUAGUAGCGGCGAGCGAAAUGGGAACAGCCUAAACCGGUCUAUCCGGGGUUGUGGGAAGAAUGAUUAAGAAAACUUGGAUCUGGUUAUUACGUUGGUAAAAACUUGGAAAAGUUAAAAAACAAACUGAAUGAGGCGAAGCAGCUGAAUCCUGCACCAUAGAUGGUGAAAGUCCAGUAGUCGAAAUUCAAUGAAAGGUGACACAAACUUUGUGUGUGUCACAAACAGUUCUUAUCCCGAGUAGCAUGGGGCACGUGAAAUCCCGUGUGAAUCAACGAGGACCACCUCGUAAGGCUAAAUACUCCUGAGUGACCGAUAGCGAACUAGUACCGUGAGGGAAAGGUGAAAAAGAUCCCCCGUAGGGAAGUGAAAUAGAACAUGAAACCGUAAGCUGUCAAACAGUGGGAGGGCUUAGAGCC
rnacentral:rRNA from 1 species